rnacentral:rRNA from 1 species
AGUGAACGCUGGCGGUAGGCCUAACACAUGCAAGUCGAACGGCAGCACAGUAAGAGCUUGCUCUUACGGGUGGCGAGUGGCGGACGGGUGAGGAAUACAUCGGAAUCUACUUUUUCGUGGGGGAUAACGUAGGGAAACUUACGCUAAUACCGCAUACGACCUACGGGUGAAAGCAGGGGAUCUUCGGACCUUGCGCGAUUGAAUGAGCCGAUGUCGGAUUAGCUAGUUGGCGGGGUAAAGGCCCACCAAGGCGACGAUCCGUAGCUGGUCUGAGAGGAUGAUCAGCCACACUGGAAGUGAGCCACGGUCCAGACUCCUACGGGAGGCAGCAGUGGGGAAUAUUGGACAAUGGGCGAAAGCCUGAUCCAGCCAUACCGCGUGGGUGAAGAAGGCCUUCGGGUUGUAAAGCCCUUUUGUUGGGAAAGAAAAGCAGCAGGUUAAUACCCCGCUGUUCUGACGGUACCCAAAGAAUAAGCACCGGCUAACUUCGUG